rnacentral:rRNA from 1 species
UACGAAGGGGGCUAGCGUUGCUCGGAAUUACUGGGCGUAAAGGGCGCGUAGGCGGAUGUUUAAGUCGGGGGUGAAAGCCCGGGGCUCAACCUCGGAAUUGCCUUCGAUACUGGACAUCUUGAGUACGGGAGAGGUGAGUGGAACUCCGAGUGUAGAGGUGAAAUUCGUAGAUAUUCGGAAGAACACCAGUGGCGAAGGCGACUCACUGGCCCGUUACUGACGCUGAGGCGCGAAAGCGUGGGUAGCAAACAGG